rnacentral:rRNA from 1 species
GACGAACGCUGGCGGCGUGCUUAACACAUGCAAGUCGAACGAUGAACCCGGAGCUUGCUCUGGGGGAUUAGUGGCGAACGGGUGAGUAACACGUGAGUAACCUGCCCUGGACUCUGGGAUAAGCGUUGGAAACGACGUCUAAUACCGGAUAGGACCUUGGAUCGCAUGAUCUGGGGUGGAAAGUUUUUUCGGUCUGGGAUGGACUCGCGGCCUAUCAGCUUGUUGGUGAGGUAAUGGCUCACCAAGGCGUCGACGGGUAGCCGGCCUGAGAGGGUGACCGGCCACACUGGGACUGAGAAACGGCCCAGACUCCUACGGGAGGCAGCAGUGGGGAAUAUUGCACAAUGGGCGAAAGCCUGAUGCAGCAACGCCGCGUGCGGGAGGACGGCCGUCGGGUUGUAAACCGCUUUUAGUAGGGAAGAAGGGCUUCGGCUUGACGGUACCUGCAGAAAAAGGACCGGCUAACUACGUG